AACGUACGCUGGCGGCACGCCUAACACAUGCAAGUCGAACGAAGUAGCAAUACUUAGUGGCAGACGGGUGAGUAACAUGUAGGUAUCUGCCCUUUGGCCUGGAAUAACACGAGGAAACUUGUGCUAAUACCGGAUAAGUCUUUACGGAGAAAGCUUUAUGCACCAUUGGAUGAGCCUGCACUUGAUUAGUUUGUUGGUGGGGUAAUGGCCUACCAAGACUGUGAUCAAUAGCUGAUUUGAGAGGAUGAUCAGCCACAUUGGGACUGAGACACGGCCCAAACUCCUACGGGAGGCGGCAGUGGGGAAUCUUGCACAAUGGAGGAAACUCUGAUGCAGCGAUGCCGCGUGAGUGAAGAAGGCCCUUGGGUUGUAAAGCUCUUUCGUCGGGGAAGAAAAUGACUGUACCCGAAUAAGAAGGUCCGGCUAACUUCGUGCCAGCAGCCGCGGUAAUACGAAGGGACCUAGCGUAGUUCGGAAUUACUGGGCUUAAAGAGUUCGUAGGUGGUUGAAAAAGUUAGUGGUGAAAUCCCAGAGCUUAACUCUGGAACUGCCAUUAAAACUUUUCAGCUAGAGUAUGAUAGAGGAAAGCAGAAUUUCUAGUGUAGAGGUGAAAUUCGUAGAUAUUAGAAAGAAUACCAAUUGCGAAGGCAGCUUUCUGGAUCAUUACUGACACUGAGGAACGAAAGCAUGGGUAGCGAAGAGGAUUAGAUACCCUCGUAGUCCAUGCCGUAAACGAUGUGUGUUAGACGUUGGAAAUUUAUUUUCAGUGUCGCAGGGAAAACGAUAAACACACCGCCUGGGGAGUACGACCGCAAGGUUAAAACUCAAAUGAAUUGACGGGGACCCGCACAAGUAGUGGAGCAUGUGGUUUAAUUCGAAGAUACGCGCAGAACCUUACCAACACUUGACAUGUUCGUCGCGACUCUAAGAGAUUAGAGUUUUCGGUUCGGCCGGACGAAACACAGGUGCUGCAUGGCUGUCGUCAGCUCGUGUCGUGAGAUGUUGGGUUAAGUCCCGCAACGAGCGCAACCCUCACUUUUAGUUGCCAUCAUUAAGUUGGGCACUCUGAAAGAACUGCCAGUGAUAAGCUGGAGGAAGGUGGGGAUGACGUCAAGUCCUCAUGGCCCUUACGUGUUGGGCUACACACGUACUACAAUGGUAUCUACAACAGGAAGCAAGACUGCGAAGUUAAGCAAAUCCCUAAAAGAUACCUCAGUUCGGAUUGCACUCUGCAACUCGAGUGCAUGAAGCUGGAAUUACUAGUAAUCGUGGAUCAGCGUGCCACGGUGAAUGCGUUCCCGGGUCU
rnacentral:rRNA from 1 species